UUCUCUUCUAUCAUUCCCUACCCCUCUACUAAUUAAGCGUUAAUUUCAGAAAAUGUUUGUAACCGCGCGCAAUGCGGUUAAUAGAAUCAGUGUUUGCUUCGUCAUAGUAUUUUGAAUAUUUUUUAGAGCGCAACAGCUCUGAUUAAAUUUAAUUAAAAUAAUCAAACGCGAAGGUAGAAUCAGUGUUUGUUCGCCGAUUAUAAUUUAUACGGACGCGUUAUUAGUCUUUUAUUUUUUAUUUUUUUUUAUUUUAAAUAUUCGUUUUCGGAACAGAGUAGAAUCAGUGCUUCUCUCAAGAGAAUACGGCGAUCAUCCACCACGCGAAGAGAUGCCGAUGAUCUUUAUGAAGAUUUGUUUUUGGACUAAUCUUAAAAAAUAUUUGUGACCGCGCGCAAUGCGGUUAAUCAGAAUCAGUGUUUGCUUCGUCAUAGUAUUUUGAAUAUUUUUUAGAGCGCAACAGCUCUGAUUAAAUUUAAUUAAAAUAAUCAAACGCGAAGGUAGAAUCAGUGUUUGUUCGCCGAUUAUAAUUUAUACGGACGCGUUAUUAGUUUCUUAUUUUUUAUUUUUUUUUAUUUUAAAUAUUCGCUUUCGGUACAGAGUAGAAUCAGUGCUUCUCUCAAGAGAAUACGGCGAUCAUCCAUCACGCGAAGAGAUUUCUUCCGUCUUGAUGACAACCUUCCCUUCUCGAUGACUUCUGGGCUACAAUAAGAGUGAAGCUAUUCGUCGCAUCGUAUGGUGAGUCGCAUGCUUUUUGGUUCCUCCGGUCACUCAAUCAUGUCGUAGGAUGAAAGAUCCGAAUCGACACGAGUGAUUGGUUGUAUACGUAGAAUUUUGCACGAGCACAAUGACCGCGGGUAUUUAUUUAUAAUAAUUACCCGCGAGUAGUAACAAUUAUUUUUGUAUUUUAUUUAUUAGUUCAGGCUAGGGUCUUCUUACGCUUCGCGUUUUUGAUUGAUAUAAAAUGUUUAGUAGUUUUCUAAUGCCAAAACAUGUAAUAAUUAUUAUUAUAUAAUUAUCAAUACAAUAUCAAUACAAUAAUUAGUUUGAAUUUUUAUAAUUCAAAAUCCUUUAGAGUAACAUUUUAAGUUAUUUGAUCAAUUUGAUUAUUGCGAUUGUCAUAUAAUUAUUUCACAUGAUUUUAUUAACUUCAAUAUGAUUUACAACACUGGUAGAUAAUAAAGUUCAAUUUUUAUUCGUACAAAUAUGAAUUAAAAAUUUUGCGCAAGAAGACAUUUCGCGACAGGCAGAUUUUAGAAUCAGAGCAAUAGGUUUUGAAUAUUAUUCUUGUGAUUUUGAAAAUAUGCUCUGAUGAAGGAAUCGCCUGAGAGUAUUUCUAUUCAUAUUUCUAUUAAAUACAAUUACAAUGAAUUCCAAUUUCUUUUUAAGUUCAGUAUUAAAAAUUAAAAAUUUAAUGUACUAAAAUUUCAAUAACUUCAAUUAAUGUUCAAUUAAUGAAAUAAAAUAUAAAAUAGAGUCACAAAUAUUUUUGAAAUAUUAUAAUAAGAAUUUGACAUAUAUAAUAUAAUUUAUAUAAUUAUACAAUUUGAAAUAUAUAAUAAUGCAAAGUCAAAGAAUGUUAGC